CAUUGCCUCCUUGGGACUAUGGCCCCUGGAAGUUGGAGAUCUUCCAAGGCAUGUGCUGCUUGAAGACCCUGCAGAGAAAGCCUUUGGAGACAAGGUUUACCUCCAGAGCUGCAGGAGCCUCCCCCUCCCAUCUGAAAGGAGCACUCCAAUUCAGAGGAAACCACCCUACAACACAGCUCGGUGGAACCCGGAGCAUCAGCCCCUGAGCCUUCUUCCUGUUAUGACCCACAGCCUGUGAGGGCAGCAAGCUGGCUCUGGCACAUUUUUUUUUCCUUUUUGCCAACUCUCCUUCAAAUGGGUGACAUGAAACUUGGUCUUGAUUGUCAACAUAACUGGAUUUAGAAACACCUAGACUGGCAAGGUGCACUUCUGGGUGUGUCUGCGGGAAUCUUUCCAGAGAUGAUUAACAGAGGGUGUGAGACCCACCACAGACUGGAGCGCAAGCAGAGUAUAAGGAGGGAAAGGAGAAAACCUGCGGAAUGAAUGCUAGC